rnacentral:tRNA from 1 species
GCCCCGAUAGUCUAGCGGUUAGGAUACCGGCCUGUCGAGCUGGUGACGCGGGUUCGAAUCCCGCUCGGGGCG